rnacentral:rRNA from 1 species
UUGGUUAAGUUAGAAAGGGCGCACGGUGGAUGCCUUGGCACUAGGAGCUGAAGAAGGACGGGACUAACACCGAUAUGCUUUGGGGAGCUGUACGUAAGCGUUGAUCCAGAGAUUUCCGAAUGGGGGAACCCACUAUCUUUAGUCGGAUAGUAUCCUUACGUGAAUACAUAGCGUAAGGAAGGCAGACCCAGGGAACUGAAACAUCUAAGUACCUGGAGGAAGAGAAAGAAAAAUCGAUUUCCUGAGUAGCGGCGAGCGAAACGGAAAGAGCCCAAACCAAGAAGCUUGCUUCUUGGGGUUGUAGGACACUCUAUACGGAGUUACAAAAGAAAGUUAUAAAUGAAGCGGUCUGGAAAGGCCCGCCAAAGACGGUAACAGCCCGGUAGUUGAAAUGGCUUUCCCUCCAGAGUGGAUCCUGAGUACGGCGGAACACGUGAAAUUCCGUCGGAAUCCGGGAGGACCAUCUCCCAAGGCUAAAUACUCCCUAGUGACCGAUAGUGAACCAGUACCGUGAGGGAAAGGUGAAAAGCACCCCGGAAGGGGAGUGAAACAGUUCCUGAAACCGUGUGCCUACAAGUAGUUAGAGCCCGUUAAUGGGUGAUAGCGUGCCUUUUGUAGAAUGAACCGGCGAGUUACGAUUUGUUGCAAGGUUAAGCGGAAAAAGCGGAGCCGUAGCGAAAGCGAGUCUGAAUAGGGCGCAUAAGUAACAGGUCGUAGACCCGAAACCAGGUGAUCUACCCAUGUCCAGGAUGAAGGUAAGGUAAUACUUACUGGAGGUCCGAACCCACGCACGUUGAAAAGUGCGGGGAUGAGGUGUGGGUAGCGGAGAAAUUCCAAUCGAACUUGGAGAUAGCUGGUUCUCUCCGAAAUAGCUUUAGGGCUAGCCUCGAGGUAAAGAGUCAUGGAGGUAGAGCACUGUUUGGACUAGGGGCCCUUCUCGGGUUACCGAAUUCAGAUAAACUCCGAAUGCCAUGUACUUAUACUCGGGAGUCAGACUGCGAGUGAUAAGAUCCGUAGUCGAAAGGGAAACAGCCCAGACCACCAGUUAAGGUCCCCAAAUAUAUGUUAAGUGGAAAAGGAUGUGGGGUUGCUUAGACAACCAGGAUGUUGGCUUAGAAGCAGCCACCAUUGAAAGAGUGCGUAAUAGCUCACUGGUCGAGUGACCCCGCGCCGAAAAUGUACCGGGGCUAAACAUAUUA